rnacentral:lncRNA from 1 species
ACCAGGAGCGGCUUAAUGCAUUUGGAGCCUAAGGCGAACUCACUAAUAAUAAUAAUAAAUACAUUUGGAAAUUAUUUGGGGGUCUCAAUACAUUUAUAGCUAAGAAUUUUAGGCUUGGAGGGGGUGGGGCUUUAGGCCACUGCCUUAGUCGCUUAAAGGUUGAACCGGCUCUGGUUCGAAUGUUUUCAAAAAUCACCGUGGUCAAGGAUAUGAUCUAAUGACCAUCUGACAGAACCCAAACCCACUCUCUCUUGCAACCUGUGCCCAUUUCUCUUCCAACGGCCCAAAGUCUAAAAACAUCCGCAGAUGCCUGAUGAGUCCGCAUAGUAAAGUCGGCUCUUACCAUCAAUCGGGCAGAACCUGGGAACCGUUAGGCAGGCGAAACAGUGCUUCGCACGGAAAUUUUAUGCGGACCGCCGUUCCUUGAAUUCCGCCUUUUGCCCUCGCUUUAAAAUUUGUCCACGCACCGCUCCAACGGCUAGUUCGGACCACGGCAACCGCGUGUCAGAUUUUAAAAAGAAAUCCAAAUCGCUCGAAUGAAAGCCAACAAAACCACACUCCUUCCUGUCCUCGGUAGAGCCCUUCGUUGCGUCUUUUCUCCUUUUCUUGAUAGGGUUUUGAAGCACUAGACCUAGAGAUCACAGCACCCUUGCGUUUCCCCUCUGCUCCUUUCUCUUUGGAUAUGGAAAAUCUCCGGUUGGAUUUGAUGGAGGAGUCCGCAGACACUAUGGAAGAGGAUGAAUUCUAUGAGGAGAUUGAGGCACCGAAGUUUGUUGAUUUCACAGCCCCUGAUCGUUCUCGGCCGGAUGACCGCUCCUGGUUCUGCGUUCGUGUCGGUGAGCACUCAUCUGGCGGAAUCUCAUAUUCUUUUCGUUUAUUGACUUGAACAUUUUAACUGGAUUUUUAUAUAUAAUCUUUUUCUUCUUCUUCUUUGGUUCCUAGUUCUAAAGAUCCGAUUUUACUGCAUGAUUACACGUUUUUAAUGGAUUUCAUGAUGUAACAUGUGAAUAUAUUUGUGGUUAUGUUACUCUUCACAAAAUCUCAAUU